GAGAGAGAAAUCCAGAGGCAGCAGGUAUUUCUUUGGAGGCCAAGUCACAUGGGAACCUCUUUGUCCACCUUCCCUCUCAGGGCCCAAAUAUCCCUCUCCAAAGAUUCAGAAGCAAAAUGGGAGGAAGUUGACAAUGAUGACAAUCUAUGCCUGACUUCAGCCCCAAGGAAGGUUUGACCUAGAGAGGUGUGAAGAUGUCAAACCUACACUGUCCAAUAUGGUAGCCAGUAGCACAUGUGACUCUUUACAUUGACUUUUAAAUGGACUACAAUUAAAUAAAAUUUAAAAAUCCAUUUCACGGGCAUACCAGCCACAUUUCAAGUAUGUCGUAGCUGCAUGUAACUAAUGGCUACUAUACCGGAAAGCACACACAGAAAAUGUUUCAUCAUCACAUAAAAUUCUGUUGAACAAAUCUGUGUUGAAUAACAACACACUUAGGACUGUGUUCAAUCCUAAGUUGAACACAAUCCUUAGGAUCUUGCUGAAUGGACAGAGCUGCAGUGGGAAAGGAGAAGAGUGAGGCUCUAGGAAAAUCCUGCCCUCUAAAAAAUGAAGGGCUCGUUCUAUGGUUGGCCUCCAUGCCAUGACCAAAGAUCAUGGACAGGUUAAAUCGAUUAGGAAAGCACUUCUCACAUAUCUAACCUGCCCUGCCAUGGGUUCAAUUUACGUAGUACACUGGACAAUGUAGCUUGAAUCCUAAAUUCAAAUGUGUUAAAUAUUCUUAGUAUUCCGUCUGUAUACUAACAAAGAAAAAAAUGUUAAGUGACUGUGCCACGCUCUCCUUCCAGAGCAGUGUUUCUUAAUUUCAGCACUACUGACAUUUUGGGCCAGAUAAGUCUUUGCUGUGGGGGCUUGUCCCACGCACUGCAGGAUGUUUGGCAGCACCCCUGGCCUCCACCCUCUAGAUGCUGGGAGCACUCUCCACCUCCACCCCCAUUGUAACAACUAAAAAUGUUGCCAGACGUUACCCAGUGUACGCUGGAGGGAAAAAUCACUCCAGGGUGAGGGCCACUGAUCUAGAAUAUGAUACAUGGCAUCUGUGAUAUGAGAAAAUGACCUUGGGCCUGGUCGUAAAAGAAUGUGCCACCUCCUCACCUGAAACACAACCAAGCAGUGGCCCGUGACUGACUUGGCAAAAUAACACUUUGUUCAGAGGAAGCUCAUAAAACAGUUUUGGCCGGGAGGAUGAGCUAACCUCAUAAUAGGUACUUGAGAGAAGCCACCCCGCUAAUGCAUGCUGUGUACCAUGAUUAGGAUUGACUUAACUAGGGUGAAGAAAUCAUAUAAUUUGCUGUGUCUACAGAUAUGUAAGUAAUCCAAAUGUGUGUUUCUUUUUUAAGUAUCAAAGGAUAAUUCUAGAAUAAAAUUCAUAGUCACAGUCAUAUUAAAAAACGUCCACAUUUUCAAAAGUCUAACUACAUUUUUCACUCUCCUCUAAAAAUGGAGACACAACACUGUGUUCUAACCUGAAGAUUUGCAUACUCAAUUCUAACUCAAAACUUUAUCUGCUGACAUCCGUGCUUCAUAAAUAAUUCCCAUGUGAUAAUUAUGUAUCUUGAGCAGAAUUACCAAUGCAUUUGUCUUGAAUGCUUAAUAUAUUUAAUGGGAAAUGUCUCGGGAAUUUUCAGUUCUGUCACUGCCAAGAGGAGGAAGUAUUAACCAUUCAGAAUAAGAUACUCACAUUAGAUUUUGUGCAUUAAGAAAGUCACAACUGAGGCUGUAGGACUUAAAUAGAUGUUUCUCCAGAGAAACAAUAGUCACUACUACACUCCCUUUCCUCCCUUAAAAGGCUGUCCAUUCCUAAAGGGUAGGGACUAUAUGUUCUUCCAGUACCUCUACUAGUGUUCUGUGCAUAUUAGGCAUUUAAUACAAUUUUUGUGCAUGAACAGACAGACUCAGAACAAAGCCUCUGAGUAUAUUGCCAUCCAGCUUGGAUGAGGAUAUAAGUCUCUUAAUCCCCAACUUAUCUUGUUUUCUAACACAAGCAAUAUAUGGGGAAUUAUGCUUAAGAGGCUGUGCCACUUUGUAUUUAAAAACCCAACUCUGUUUUUUAGACUCCUUGUUCCUUAAGUUGGUUAUGUGUUAGGUGACCUUGCUAGUUCCCUAAUUUUUCCAAGUUUCCAUUUUCUCACCAAUAAAUCGAGACUAAUUAAUAAUGACACAUUAAUUUGAGGUCUAAAUGAGAAAAUCUACACAAGGCUUUUAGCACACUGCCUGACACAUAGAAAGUGUUUUCUAAAUGCUAGCUAUUAUUUUUAUGGCAUAAUUCUGUCAUAGAUCCAAAAAGACUUUUUUAUUUUUAAAAAAUCAUAGUCGCAUUUUUUUAAUUAUUACUUUUCUUCUCUUUGAAGUCAAUCCUCUCAACACAGCUUGAGAAUUGCAAUGAAUUUGGGGAUCUGAGAAACAAUCUUUUCUAAAUAUUUGUAUGUUAUUUGGAAACAAUUACAGUGGCAAAAGAGAACAAGAGGCUACCUUUUAGUAUCAAUCUAUCUGUACACUUAAAAAAAAAAAAAAAAAGAAAAAAGCAGCCCAUGACAAGUACAUGCUGAUUUUUAAGAAGAGGUGAGGUAAAAGUGGUACAGCUUUAUUAAGUACAAGAACUUAACAAUCCCUUUUAUUAAACAGAACUUGAAUUUGUAUUACACUGAAUUUAUAGAUCAAUUUGAGGAGGAUUGAUAUGGGUAUGAUAUGGAGUCUUGUUAUUUAAUAAUGUGGUUUCUCACUUAGGAUUGUCUUAUAUCUUUCAAUAAUUUUAGAAUUCUUUUUUAAAAGUUCUUGCAUAUCAUUUCUCAGGUUUGCUUUAAACGGCUGUACAGAUUUUUGAAUGGGGUAUUAUUAAUUGUUCGAAUUGGUUAAAGCAAGAAUGCUAUUGUUUUUGUAUAUUGAUCCUCUAUCCAAAAAAUGUACUGAAUUCUCUAACUACUGCUAGUUUGCAGAUUUUCCUGGAUUUGCAAAGUUAAAAAUCAUAUGCAAAUAAAUAAUUUUGUAUCUUCCAUUUUACUUUUGUUAUAUUUUAUUUCUCUUGCCUUAUUUAGUUAACUAGAAUGUCCAGUUAAUAUUAAAUGUGGAUAAUGUCCAAGGGCAUUGUUUGCUUAUAUUUUCCUUAAAAGGAAUGCUUCUAAUGUUUAACCAUUAAUAUAAUGUUAGCUAUACAUUUUUUUAUUGACUAAGAAAGUUUAUUUUUUCUUAAUUCAAGACGGAUUAAAGACUUAAAUGUUAGACCUAAAACCAUAAAAACCCUAGAAGAAAACCUAGGCAAUACCAUUCAGGACAUAGGCAUGGGCAAGGACUUCAUGUCUAAAACACCAAAAGCAAUGGCAACAAAAGCCAAAACAGACAAAUGGGAUCUAAAUAACUAAAGAGCUU
rnacentral:lncRNA from 1 species